rnacentral:rRNA from 1 species
GGCAUUCCCGAUGUAACUCCAACCCAUGUGAACGUUACCAAACUGGUGCCUCGACGGGAUCUCUGCCCCGGGUGCGUCGCAUCCCCGGACCAAGGCGCCCGGCGGAGGACCAACCCUUACUCUUUUUGUAUACCCCCUCGCGUUUUUUUUAUAAUCUGAGCCUUCUCGGCGCCUCUCGUAUGCGUUUCGAAAAUGAAUCAAAACUUUCAACAACGGAUCUCUUGGGUCUGGCAUCGAUGAAGAACGCACCGAAAUGCGAUAAGUAAUGUGAAUUGCACAAUUCAUUGAAUCAUCGAAUCUUUGAACGCACAUUGCGCCCGCCAGUAUUCUGGCGGGCAUGCCUGUCCGAGCGUCAUUUCAACCCUCCAACCCCUCCGGGGGGUCGGUGUUGGGGAUCGGCCCUGCCUCUUGGCGGUGGCCGUCUCCGAAAUACAAUGGCGGUCUCGCCGCAGCCUCUCCUGCGCAGUAGUUUGCACACUCGCAUCGGGAGCGCGGUGCGUCCACAGCCGUUAACAGCCCAACUUCUGAAAUGUUGACCUCGGAUCAGGUAGGAAUACCCGCUGAACUUAAGCAUAUCAA